AAGUCGACGCACAGCGAAAGGUGCUUGCACCUUUCAUGUGAGUGGCGAACGGGUGAGUAACACGUGGACAACCUGCCUCAAGGCUGGGGAUAACAUUUGGAAACAGAUGCUAAUACCGAAUAAAACUUAGUGUCGCAUGACAAAAAGUUAAAAGGCGCUUCGGCGUCACCUAGAGAUGGAUCCGCGGUGCAUUAGUUAGUUGGUGGGGUAAAGGCCUACCAAGACAAUGAUGCAUAGCCGAGUUGAGAGACUGAUCGGCCACAUUGGGACUGAGACACGGCCCAAACUCCUACGGGAGGCUGCAGUAGGGAAUCUUCCACAAUGGGCGAAAGCCUGAUGGAGCAACGCCGCGUGUGUGAUGAAGGCUUUCGGGUCGUAAAGCACUGUUGUAUGGGAAGAACAGCUAGAAUAGGAAAUGAUUUUAGUUUGACGGUACCAUACCAGAAAGGGACGGCUAAAUACGUGCCAGCAGCCGCGGUAAUACGUAUGUCCCGAGCGUUAUCCGGAUUUAUUGGGCGUAAAGCGAGCGCAGACGGUUUAUUAAGUCUGAUGUGAAAGCCCGGAGCUCAACUCCGGAAUGGCAUUGGAAACUGGUUAACUUGAGUGCAGUAGAGGUAAGUGGAACUCCAUGUGUAGCGGUGGAAUGCGUAGAUAUAUGGAAGAACACCAGUGGCGAAGGCGGCUUACUGGACUGCAACUGACGUUGAGGCUCGAAAGUGUGGGUAGCAAACAGGAUUAGAUACCCUGGUAGUCCACACCGUAAAACGAUG
rnacentral:rRNA from 1 species